rnacentral:rRNA from 1 species
AACAGGGAUUGCCCUAGUAACGGCGAGUGAAGCGGCAACAGCUCAAAUUUGAAAUCUGGCCCUUUCAGGGUCCGAGUUGUAAUUUGUAGAGGGCGCUUUGGUGUUGGCUGCGGUCUAAGUUCCUUGGAACAGGACGUCACAGAGGGUGAGAAUCCCGUACGUGGUCGACAGUCUCCACCGUGUAAAGCCCCUUCGACGAGUCGAGUUGUUUGGGAAUGCAGCUCUAAAUGGGAGGUAAAUUUCUUCUAAAGCUAAAUAUUGGCCAGAGACCGAUAGCGCACAAGUAGAGUGAUCGAAAGAUGAAAAGCACUUUGGAAAGAGAGUCAAAAAGCACGUGAAAUUGUUGAAAGGGAAGCGCUUGCAAUCAGACUUGCCUGUAGUUGCUCAUCUAGGCUCUUGCCUGGUGCACUCUUCUGCGGGCAGGCCAGCAUCAGUUCAGGCGGCUGGAUAAAGGCCUCUAUCACGUAUCUUCCUUCGGGAUGACCUUAUAGGGGAGGUGUAAUGCAGCCAGCCUGGAUUGAGGUCCGCGCAUCUGCUAGGAUGCUGGCGUAAUGAUUGUAAGCGGCCCGUCUUGAAACACGGACCAAGGAGUCUAACAUCUAUGCGAGUGUUUGGGUGUCAAGCCCGGACGCGCAAUGAAAGUGAACGGAGGUGGGAACCCUCACGGGUGCACCAUCGACCGAUCCUGAUGUCUUCGGAUGGAUUUGAGUAAGAGCAUAGCUGUUGGGACCCGAAAGAUGGUGAACUAUGCCUGAAUAGGGUGAAGCCAGAGGAAACUCUGGUGGAGGCUCGCAGCGGUUCUGACGUGCAAAUCGAUCGUCAAAUUUGGGCAUAGGGGCGAAAGACUAACCGAAC